rnacentral:rRNA from 1 species
GGCAAGACCGGGCCAGCGGCCGCGGGAAUACGGAGGGUGGAAGGGGUAAUCGGAAGUACUGGGCGUAAAGCGAACGCAGGCGGUUGGAUAAGUUAGAUGUGAAAGCCCCGGGCUCAACCUGGGAAUUGCAUUUAAAACUGUCCAGCUAGAGUCUUGUAGAGGGGGGUAGAAUUCCAGGUGUAGCGGUGAAAUGCGUAGAGAUCUGGAGGAAUACCGGUGGCGAAGGCGGCCCCCUGGACAAAGACUGACGCUCAGGUGCGAAAGCGUGGGGAGCAAACAGGAUUAGAUACCCGUGUAGUC